AAGGUCCUACGGGGGGCAGCAGUGAGGAAUAUUGGUCAAUGGCCGAGAGGCUGAACCAGCCACGUCGCGUGAGGGAUGACGGCCCUACGGGUUGUAAACCUCUUUUGUCGGGGAGCAAAGAGAGUCACGUGUGACUCAUUGAGAGUACCCGAAGAAAAAGCAUCGGCUAACUCCGUGCCAGCAGCCGCGGUAAUACGGAGGAUGCGAGCGUUAUCCGGAUUUAUUGGGUUUAAAGGGUGCGCAGGCGGAGGUGCAAGUCAGCGGUCAAAUUGCGGGGCUCAACCCCGUGCUGCCGUUGAAACUGC
rnacentral:rRNA from 1 species